GAUAAACGCUGGCGGCGUGCUUAACACAUGCAAGUCGAACGAAGUUUUUCCUUCGGGAGCAACUUAGUGGCGGACGGGUGAGUAACGCGUGGGUAACCUGCCCUGUACAGGGGGACAACAGCUGGAAACGGCUGCUAAUACCGCAUAAGCCCUUAGCACUGCAUGGUGCAUAGGGAAAAGGAGCAAUCCGGUACAGGAUGGACCCGCGGCUGAUUAGCCAGUUGGCAGGGUAACGGCCUACCAAAGCGACGAUCAGUAGCCGAUCUGAGAGGAUGUACGGCCACAUUGGGACUGAGACACGGCCCAGACUCCUACGGGAGGCAGCAGUGGGGAAUAUUGCACAAUGGAGGAAACUCUGAUGCAGCGACGCCGCGUGAGUGAAGAAGUAUUUCGGUAUGUAAAGCUCUAUCAGCAGGGAAGAAAAUGACGGUACCUGACUAAGAAGCACCGGCUAAAUACGUG
rnacentral:rRNA from 1 species